GACGAACGCUGGCGGCGGGCUUAACACAUGCAAGUCGAGCGGAGCGGCGAACGGGUGAGUAACGCGUGAGUAACUGUCACCCUCUCUGGGAUAACAGUUGGAAACGGCUGCUAAUACCGGAUAGUGGGGGAUGACUCGCGUCCUAUCAGCUUGUGGGUGGGGGAGUGGCCUAUCAAGGCGACGACGGGUAGCCGGCCUGAGAGGGCGACCGGCCAAGUUGGGCGGGGAUACGGGCCCACCCCCUACUGGAGGGCGCAGGGGGGAAGAUUGCACCAUGGGGGAAACCCUGAUGCAGCAACGCUCGGGCGGGAUGUCGCCCUUCGGGUUGUAAACCGCUUUCAGCCAUGACGCGGUAUUGGCAGAAGAAGCACCGGCUAACUACGUGCCAGCAGCCGCGGUAAUUC
rnacentral:rRNA from 1 species